GUCAAAUAUACAGUAAUUGUGUACUAAACUCAAUUCAAUUCAAUUCUUCUUGGAUCUCUGAACUCUUAUAUCCAAGGCAUUCUUAAUGUAUAUAAUUACUUAAUAUUAAUCAAUAUAAAUUAUCCUUCCUUAGUUUUCUUCCUUAUGUUACCAUUGUUUGUUUAACUUCACCUCGAUAUAAACAAAUUACUCAUUCUUGUGAAUCUAUG